rnacentral:rRNA from 1 species
GACGAACGCUGGCGGCGUGCUUAACACAUGCAAGUCGAACGGAAAGGCCUCAGCUUGCUGGGGUACUCGAGUGGCGAACGGGUGAGUAACACGUGGGUGAUCUGCCUUGCACUCUGGGAUAAGCUUGGGAAACUGGGUCUAAUACCGGAUAUGAACUGCCUUUAGUGUGGUGGUUGGAAAGUUUUUUCGGUGCAAGAUGAGCUCGCGGCCUAUCAGCUUGUUGGUGGGGUAAUGGCCUACCCAGGCGUCGGCGGGUAGCCGGCCUGGGAGGGUGUACGGCCACAUUGGGACUGAGAUACGGCCCAGACUCCCACGGGGGGCAGCAGGGGGGAAUAUUGCACAAUGGGCGGAAGCCUGAUGCAGCGACGCCGCGUGGGGGAUGACGGCCUUCGGGUUGGAAACUCCUUUCGACAGGGACGAAGCUUUUUGUGACGGUACCUGGAGAAGAAGCACCGGCUAACUACGUG